GUUAAUUUAUUUGGAGGCACAGCGCUCCCCCGGGGUGGCCAAGCUUGGAAGUCCUGUUCUUACAAAAUUGCUCACUGCCUCUACCCCAUGUCAGGUGCAGUUUUGGUAUCAUUUGUCUCAACAUUCAAAUCUCUCAGUUUUUACAAGAACGUCUCUAGAUGGAAACUUGCAAAAGCAAGGCAAAAUAAUCAGAUUCUCCGAAUCUCAGUGGAGCCACGCAAAAAUUGAUCUCAUUGCAGAAGCGGGAGAAUCUACUCUACCUUUUCAGUUAAUUUUGGAAGCUACUGUUUUGUCAUCAAAUGCUACCGUUGCUCUAGAUGACAUCAGUGUGUCCCAGGAAUGUGAAAUUUCCUAUAAAUCACUACCAAGGACCAGUACACAAAGCAAGUGAGCUGAAUGGACUAAUCAAGAAAAAUUUGGGUCACAUGAUUCUGGAUUGAGACGAUUAAAGAUCUUUUAAUUAAAGGUCCUUUAUUAAAGAUAUUUUUCAUUCGAGAGAGUGUAUAUUUCUGGGUGCUAACUUAUAUUGGGUUAACGUGUAUUUACUUUGUUCAGAAUGUGUAUCCUGCAUGCAUAAUAGACCAUUCUAAGCUCUGCGCAUGUGUUCAUGCAAGUGUGUGUGUGUGUGCGCAUGUGUGCGCGUGUCUGCCUGUGUGUCUGCAUAUGUGUGUGUGCA